GGCGCGUUGGUCCAGCGGUACGGACAUCGGUCCCUCUCACCGAAGACACGGGUUCGAUCCCCGUACGCGUCA
rnacentral:tRNA from 1 species